rnacentral:rRNA from 1 species
CCUAACCCUCAAGCAAAAUACCCUAAGUCCUGGCAGCUUUUUCAACAACGCCCUAAAACUGUCCGACCAAGGCGUCAAGUGUGCGACCGGCCAUGUCAAGUCCGCGUCCGACCAGAUGUCAAGUGUGCGACCGGCCAUGUCAAGUCCGCGUCCGACCGAUGUCAAGUCGCAACCGGCCGAUGUCAAGUCAACCCCAAAAUUGUCAUGUCCUUAAACCAUACCCCCACAACCUAAUUUUUUAGGGGGCGUAUGGGCAAACAGUCAGAGCGCUUAUCCCCUAUUCUUAAACCCCACAAGUGCUCCCCACCAACUCAAAUGGGGGUUUAAGAGACACACGCACUCGUGUGCUUAAUGGAUGUCAUUUAUGUAAGACGGUACGUACUUCUAAAAACUACAAUUGGAUAUGGUGUAUAGUAAGUAGGUAUCCAGGAAAAUUCAUAAAUAUAUUGACCGUACCCUAAACCGACACAGGUGAACGAGUCGAAUAGACUCAGGUGAUGAGAGAACCACAUUGAAGGAACUCGGCAAAAUAUUCCCGUACCUUAGGAAGAAGGGAAGCCAAAAAUGGUGACACAAAAAUGGGGGUGACGACUUUUUACUAAAAAAUUAGGACUCUGCUAAAUGGUAACAUGACGUAUAGGGUCUGACGUCUGCCCGGUGCUAGAAGUAUAAAAGGAGUGUUGAAAGAUACGAAUGGAAAGCCUAGUAAACGGCGGUUGUAACUAUAACAAUCAUAAAGUAGCGAAAUUCAUUGCCAGCUAAUUCCUGGCCUGCAUGAAAGACGUAACGAUUGCCCCACUGUCUCCAGUGUGGACUCAGUGAAAUUGAAUUCUCCGUGCAGAUGCGGAGUACGUGCCCCAAGACGAGAAGACCCUGUGCAUCUUUACUGUACAUUUACAUUGACAAAACCAUACGUAUGUGUAGGAUAGGUGGGAGUACAAACAUCCUUGAAAUACCACCCUUACUAUGUUUUUUGUCUAACAUCGGAGAUAGACAAUGUAUGUGAGGCAGUUUGACUGGGGCGGUCGCCUCCUAAAGAGUAACGGAGGCGUGCGAAGGUAAACUCAAUGUAGAUCGGAAACCUACUGAAGAGCGUAAUGGUAUAUGUUUGCCUGACUGCAAGAUUUACAGAUCGAGCAGAGACGAAAGUCGGUCAUAAUGAUCCACAAGUACUGCGUGGAAAGGCUUGUGCUUAACGAAUCAAAGAUACGCCAGGGAUAACAGGCUGAUAAUUCCCAAGAGCCCUUAUCGACGGAAUUGUUUGGCACCUCGAUGUUGACUGAUCAUAUCCUGGGGCUGAAGAAGGUCCCAAGGGUUCGGCUGUUCGCCGAUUAAAAUGGUACCUGAGUUGAGUUUAGAACGUCGUGAGACAGUUUGGAUUCUACCUGGGGUGCGCGUAAGAAUUGAGAAAACCACAUCCUUGUACGAGAGGACCGGAUGUGUACAACCUCUGGUAUAGUAAUUGUCCGGCCACGGGCAUGGUUACUACGCUACGUUGUGAAAGGAUAAGUACUGAAAGCAUAUCAAGUACGAAACUUUUUUCAAGACAUAUUCUUUAUCGUAUUGUAUAUCGUACAAGUUGAGUACGUUAAUAGAUAAGCUGUGUAUUAUUUGUAAAAAUAGAAGCAUCCUUAUACUAAACUAUACAUUUUUUUUC